rnacentral:lncRNA from 1 species
CGGGGCUGCUCUGUCUAUGGAGUAGCCAUUCUUUUAUUCGAAUACUUUACUCUCCUAACAAACUUGCUUUCAUUUUACUCUACAGACUCACCCUGAAUUCUUUCUUGCACUUGCUCUAAGAACCCUCUCUUGGGGUCUGGAUCCGGACCGCUUUCUGCUAACACUUCUACAUACCACGUUUAUUUGAGACAGAAAAAUACAGCAAGGACAUCCAUCUAAACUUUGUCUGGAGUCUGGGCCCAGGGGAGCUGCAGUACAUGGAGGGUCUCUGGAAGUGGGUAUGGCAGAUUAGCGCCUAAGCUCAACUGGCUUUCCUCCUCUGCCUCUGUUCCUGGGACUUGCUCACGGCUCACAAGGUAGCUUCCCACUGUCAGUCCAUCAGCAACAGCCAGUUAGAGUCGAUUGGGUGUGAGAAGCGAGACUAUUCAUAAGCAGCCUGUCCCCUGUGCCACUGGCUUAUUAAGCAGAGCUAGGCAUAGACAGCUGGGAACUCUGGGCAGCUCCUUUAAAUUUCUCUUUGAAGAAUGUUAAGUAUUCACCAGCAGUGAAGGUUACAAAGGCUGAAGUUUUCUCUCCACCCCCAGCAUUUCCCAGGGGAGUAAAAGGAAGGAUCAAAGCUACAAUGGGCUUGGCUGCCCUUCUCCAGGAAUGGCCAGAGGACAACUUCUGCUUGGAAAGUUCCUGGAUACUUCUGGAACAGAAUUCUCCUGGGGUGAGUGGUUCACACAACUGACCCACUUCAUCCCCACUCAGCAAAAUGAGAGCGCCGUUGACUGACAACAAAAUGCUGAACUGGAAACCUCCGCAGUAAAACGUGAUGCAGAACAGAGAAAGAACUAAGAUGUUCUGCACAGACGGUAUCAUGCCCUCUAUGAGGAAACUACUCGAGCAUAUCUGUGUUUCAAAUGAUGUCUUUGAACUAUUUAUGUUAAAUGCCCCCCCAAAAAAAUGGAAAGGCUUCUUCGUAGAGGAAAGAGCUUGAAGUUGCUAGGCUGUUCUGCCUUCAACAGGCAUUUAUUGUGCAGCUACAAAAUGCUGCACCAAGCACUGGGCAGUGGAAAGGUGAUUCAGACACAGUUCCUUUGACAAAACCUCAAAAUCCCAUGUGAAGUUCUCUUUUAUAAAGUAAAUCAGAAAAGAUUCAAAAGUUGAGGUACCAAAAAAAAAUAAUAUAAAUGCAAGUAGUAAAGCGCUAUUGACUGUAAAUAGAAGCACUUAAUAAGUGGUUGUUGUUUCUGUUCUUCUCUCUAAUAAGUGUAUACAGGUGGCUAAAUGCUUUUGUUGAGCUAUGAGUACCUCAUUCUGUGGAGUGACUCAGAAAGUCUCUAGGUGUUAGACUGGAAACAGGUGAUGUUCAGUGCACGCAAUGCUUGAAGUGUUCCCAGGUAUUUAGUUUCAGGUAAAUUUUACUGUUUAAAAAAAUUGUUUUUACUUGCUAUUAAGUGUGUUGACCUUGGAUAAUUUACUUAACCUCUCUAUGCCUUGCUUCCUUUUCUGCAAAAUGAGAGUAAGAAAAGUGCUUACCUCAUUGGCUUUUUGUGAAAUUCAAUGAGUUAACACGUGGGAGAAAAGAUGUUUUUAAAUAAUCAAUUCUUAGCAGUUGGUCAUUGUUAUGAGUUACAUCAUGCGUAGUUAAAUAUUUUUUAAAAAAUUAAAAUUUAUUUUCCUAUAGGAAAAAGGAGGGACUGAAUUGUGAAUCCAUUUUCUCUGCUUUCAGUUAUUUCUACUCCUGAGAAAAACCCUAAGCACUUAGGGUCUAGAACCACAUCCCGAGACGGUAGCACAAUAUAAGAGCUAAGAAGAGAAUGAGAACUGGAGUCCCUCCCAGGUUUGCCCCUCUAGGUAUGUAAGCUAAGGUAAACUACUUAGCCUUUCUUAAGCCUCAGUUUUCUCAUUACAAAUGGGCAUAUACGGAACAUUGGCUUGCCUCCUACAGUUGUUUGAGGACUCAAUGAAAAUGUACGUGAAGCUGGUUGCGGUGAGCUGAGAUUGUGCCACUGCACUCCAGCCUUGUGACACAGCGAGACUCCGUCUCAAAAAAAUAAAUAAAUAAAUAAAUAAAAAUAAAAGACUGGUUGCGGUUGCUCAUGCCUGUAAUUCCAGCACUUUGGGAGGCUGAGGUGGGCGGAUCACAAGGUCAAGAAAUCAAGACCAUCUUGGCUAACAUGGUGAAACCACAUCUCUACUAAAACUACAAAAAUUAGCUGGGCAUGGUAGCACAUGCCUGUAGUCCCAGCUACUCGGGAGGGCUGAGGCAGGAGAAUCGCUUGAACCAGGGAGGCAGAGGGUGCAGUGAGCCGAAAUCAUGCCACUGCACUCCAGCCUUGUGACAGAGUGAGACUCCAUCUCAAAAAAAAAAAAAAAAAAAAGAAAAAGAAAAAAGAAAAUGUACGUGAAGCAGUUAUCCUGGUGCCGGUGCCUGGUACGUAUCAAGGGCACCAGAACAUUAGCUAUUUAACCUUAAGGUUUCAAAUCCACCCUUCUCUGGAGACUUCUUGUUCCCUACUCUCAUGCAUCUCUGCAUCAUGGUCAUAACCCAUAGCAACGAAAAGCCAAGGUUUCACUCUUUGAAAUCUGGAUAAUGGUAUUUGUCUGCAAUAAUAUCCUAGGAGUAGAGCUAGAGAAUUUGUUUUGGGUUUUGUUUGUUUUUGUUCAUUUUUCAGACACGGUGAGUCAGAAACGUAAGGCUCAGAGAUAUUUUUAGUUUUUCCAGCCACUAAGAAUUCUUGUUGCCUGCAGGGAAAUAAAGAAAUGCAGAGAAGGGGGAGUGCUAGACUUGCCUGCUUGCUAUCCAAAACCACUUCUUUCCUUUGAAAAAGGGUCUGUGCAGCCAAAACAAGCAGCGCUAACGCUGGGCUGAGAGUAGGCACCAGCCAUCCAGGAAAGAGACAAGGCAACCAUCAGCUACAAAAGCUGCUUCAACAGCAGACAGCUCAAAGAAUCAAAAAAUGCAUCCCAGGAGGGCUGGGUGAGGAAAGACAGUGAUCUUGCCUUGGUAUUUGCAGCAAAGUCACAGACCAGGAAGGUCAAAUCCUCGCUGAGAACCAUGUGGACAAAUGUCCAGGACAUGGUCGCUGGCCUCAGGGAGCCCACAAUUUUAUUGAAGAAGCAAGAUUGUCAGAAGUAAGGACCAAAACUCGUGUAUACAGAGAAAGGAGAAAGAUUGAGAGGAAAGAAGAGGAGAAUCAAGGAGGCAGAGAUUAAAAGAAGGAAGGGAUAGAAAAGAAAAGAAAAAGAAAGAGGGAAGGAGAGAAGGGGAAAAGUACGGACUCCGUUUCGUGACUACAUCACAAGCAUUGAUGAAAAGAAGAGAAAUCUGUGAAAACGAGAAAGCAGGCACUGUAUGUUGCAUCCUGACACACAGUGAGUUGUUACACUUUAAAAGCCACAAAGAAGAGACGCUCACCCAGAGACAGACUUGAUGGAUUUGGCAGCUUAUCAUACUGGGAAGGGCAGAAUUGGGUUAUGCUAUGUUUUCAAUGGGUCCCCUCCAAAAGUCAGCCAAUGUGAUAGUAUUAAGAGAUGAGGCCUUUAAGAGGUGAUUAGGCCAUGAGAGCUCCUUCCUCGGGCUUGGAAUUAAGUGUCCUUAUACAGAGGUUUGGCACAAGGAGUUGGCCCCCACUUGCCCUUCCGUGUUCAGCCAUGAGGACACAGUGUUCCUUCUCUCUGGAGGAUGCAGCGUGAGGGCGCCAUCUUGGAAGCACAGAGCAGCCAUCACCAGACACCAAACCUGCUGGUGCCUUGAUCUUCCCAGCCUCCAGAACUGUGUAAACACUGAGGCCCAUAGAGGUCAUCACCUGCCCAACUGGACAGCUGUGAAGCCACAGCUCACACCACUUGCUGCAUCCUCCUGCAAUUUCAGCACACUUUCUCUUGUGCUGCUCUCCCUGGAAAGACAGUGCUUUUCCCCAACACCAAUUCCACCGGCAUCGCCCUAGAAAAAUACUCACAAAGAACACGGGGAGCUAUGUCUAAGGAUCUUCAAUGAAGUAUUGUUAUAAUGGACAUUUAGUUACAACUUAAAUGUUCACCAACUGGGUGAACAUUUCCACUGACUGGGGAAUGACCAGAAACAGAAAACAGAGAACUAUGCUGUAUAACCAUCACAUGAAAUUCUGGGCAGCGGUAGAAAGGAAUGAAUGAAUCUGCUCAUGCUUACAUGAAAAGAGACAUAUUGUGAAGUGAAGGAAGUUUCAGAAUGAAGUUUACAAGUAUGAUUCCACAUGUUACAGAACAACAAGAGAUGUGGGUGUUUUGUAUGCAGACAUAUACAUGUAUGUAAACGUAUAGGAAAAGGUCUGAAAUUACGCAAGCCAAACUGAUAACAAAAUUACCCAUUGAGAAGGGGAAAGUGGUAGAAAAGAGAGAAUGCUGAUCAAGGGGAUUCUAGCCUUAUCUGAGCUGUUUGAAUUGUUUCACAAGAAUAAUGUAUUCAUGUGUUACUUGUGUGCUUAUAAUAAAUCUAAAAUAAGUUUGUCCUAAUUCUUUACAGUAGAGAAAUGGUGGCAUUUGGUGAUCAAGGAUGCAGUGUGGACUCAGACAGGCCUUAGCUUCCAUCCCAGCUUGGCUACUCGAGAGCUGUGUGACUGUACAUAAGCUACUUAAACUUUCUGUAUCUCUUUAGCCUCUUCUAUAGAAUGAAGUUGAUGACAAUACCUCAGAAGAUGUAGUGAGGAAUUAAAUGAGGCAUAAGCCAAGGUUUCUGCUGCACCUGGCAAAGAAGUGAAUCAGAUCAGAAGCACAAAUGCACGGAACUGAGUUUUCUGCCUGGACAGUGUCCUAAGACUCUCUGGCAAGAUCUCUGGUUUAACGACUUCCUGUACUUUCUUCAUCAUUUCGCCAGACAGCAGAUCUCCUGAGGGCAUGGGGAUCCCUAUAGCAAAAAUAGACACCACUGGUCAAUGCAAAGAGUCUUCCCCAGACGUGACAACUUGAUGAGCAGAGAAUGACCACUCAGGACUGGUGUGACCAGUGCACACCUCUCCCAGCAGGUUUGUUCUUGCCCCACAGGGUCUAAAACCCAGCCCCUC